GAAGUGGCAGCAGAGGAGAUGAUGAUACACACAUAUAUAGUGUGGAAACCUAGAUUAACCCCUUCAGGGUCAGAACAUUUCCCCUCUUACAGGACCGGAACAUUCUUUUCAUUUUGAAGAUAGAAAAACAUAUAUGGUUCUGGCUGACCAAGUCAAUACUAUAUCCCAGAAAGGACAAUGAGAAAAAAUAGGAAACAAAUUGGACUUUAAAAGAGAAAAUAGAGAAGAUUCCAGAAGUCACCACAGAGAUCACUGAGCUGCUGACAGGAGAGGUGAGCGGUGCCGGGAA